ensembl:rRNA 5_8S_rRNA 5.8S ribosomal RNA
GACUUUUAGUGGUGGAUCACUUGGCUCACAUGUGGAUGAAGAGUGCAGCUAGCUGUGGGAAUUAAUGUGAAUUGCAGGAUACAUUGACACAUUGAUCAUCUACACAUUGAAUACACUUGGGCCCUGGGUUCCUCCUGGAGCUAUGCCUGUAUGAGCGUUU